AGGAUAAGCUGCGGAGCUUUACACAUGCAAGUCGAACGGCAGCGCGAGAGAGCUUGCUCUCUUGGCGGCGAGUGGCGGACGGGUGAGUAAUAUAUCGGAACGUGCCCAGUAGCGGGGGAUAACUACUCGAAAGAGUGGCUAAUACCGCAUACGCCCUACGGGGGAAAGGGGGGGAUCGCAAGACCUCUCACUAUUGGAGCGGCCGAUAUCGGAUUAGCUAGUUGGUGGGGUAAAGGCUCACCAAGGCAACGAUCCGUAGCUGGUUUGAGAGGACGACCAGCCACACUGGGACUGAGACACGGCCCAGACUCCUACGGGAGGCAGCAGUGGGGAAUUUUGGACAAUGGGGGAAACCCUGAUCCAGCCAUCCCGCGUGUAUGAUGAAGGCCUUCGGGUUGUAAAGUACUUUUGGCAGAGAAGAAAAGGUAUCUCCUAAUACGAGAUACUGCUGACGGUAUCUGCAGAAUAAGCACCGGCUAACUACGUGCCAGCAGCCGCGGUAAUACGUAGGGUGCAAGCGUUAAUCGGAAUUACUGGGCGUAAAGCGUGUGUAGGCGGUUCGGAAAGAAAGAUGUGAAAUCCCAGGGCUCAACCUUGGAACUGCAUUUUUAACUGCCGAGCUAGAGUAUGUCAGAGGGGGGUAGAAUUCCACGUGUAGCAGUGAAAUGCGUAGAUAUGUGGAGGAAUACCGAUGGCGAAGGCAGCCCCCUGGGAUAAUACUGACGCUCAGACACGAAAGCGUGGGGAGCAAACAGGAUUAGAUACCCUGGUAGUCCACGCCCUAAACGAUGUCAACUAGCUGUUGGGGCCGUUAGGCCUUAGUAGCGCAGCUAACGCGUGAAGUUGACCGCCUGGGGAGUACGGUCGCAAGAUUAAAACUCAAGGAAUUGACGGGGACCCGCACAAGCGGUGGAUGAUGUGGAUUAAUUCGAUGCAACGCGAAAAACCUUACCUACCCUUGACAUGUCUGGAAAGCCGAAGAGAUUUGGCCGUGCUCGCAAGAGAACCGGGAACACA
rnacentral:rRNA from 1 species